rnacentral:tRNA from 1 species
GGGAAUGUGGCUUAGUAGUGUAGUGUUUGCCUGUCAUGCAUAAGACCUGGGUUCAAUUCCUCAGUACCA